rnacentral:rRNA from 1 species
GGAAGUAAUUAAGGGCGUACGGUGGAUGCCUAGGCUCUUACAGGCGAUGAAGGACGUGAUAAGCUGCGAUAAGCUGUGGGUAGGUGCAAAUAACCAUUGAUCCGCAGAUUUCCGAAUGGGACAACCCAGCAGGUUGAAGACCUGUUAUCCCGCGAAUGCGGGAGGCUAACGGGGGGAACUGAAACAUCUUAGUACCCCUAGGAAAAGAAAAUAAUAAUGAUUCCCCUAGUAGUGGCGAGCGAACGGGGAAGAGCCCAAACCAUAUAGAUUUCGGUCUAUAUGGGGUUGUAGGACCACGACGUUGCAAGAAGUACGAUUAGAGGAACGCUUUGGAAAGAGCGACCAUAGAGAGUGACAGUCUCGUACUCGACAAUCGUAUGAAGCAUAGUGGUAUCCUGAGUAGGGCGGGACACGUGAAAUCCUGUCUGAAUCUGGCGGGCCCAUCCGCCAAGGCUAAAUACUCGUAAGAGACCGAUAGCGAACCAGUACCGUGAGGGAAAGGUGAAAAGCACCUCUUUUAGAGGAGUGAAAAAGUUCCUGAAACCGUACGCCUACAAGCGGUCGGAGCUUCUUAGGAAGUGACGGCGUGCCUUUUGCAUAAUGAACCUACGAGUUACCGUCGUCGGCAAGGUUAAGUGCUAUGAAGCACGUAAGCCGAAGCGAAAGCGAGUCUGAAUAGGGCGCAUAGUCGGCGGUGGUAGACGCGAAACCAAGUGAUCUACCCUUGUCCAGGUUGAAGUCCCGGUAACACGGGAUGGAGGACCGAACCAAUAAGCGUUGAAAAGCUUCUGGAUGAGGUGAGGGUAGGAGUGAAAGGCCAAUCAAACUUGGAGAUAGCUCGUACUCCCCGAAAUGCAUUUAGGUGCAGCCUCGGGCGUUCCCUGUGUGAGGUAGAGCGACUGAUUGGAUGCGAGGGCUUCACCGCCUAUCAAGUCCAGACAAACUCCGAAUGCACACAGGCUAAGCCCGGGAGUGAGGGCGUGGGUGCUAAGGUCCACGCCCGAGAGGAGAAGAAUCCUGACCACCGGCUAAGGCCCCGAAAUAUAGGCUAAGUUAAACUAACGAAGUGUGGUCCCCGUGACAGCUAGGAUGUUGGCUUGGAAGCAGCCAUUCAUUCAAAGAGUGCGUAACAGCUCACUAGUCGAGGGACUGUGCAUGGAUAAUAAUCGGGUAUAAAGUCUAUUGCCGAAGCCGUGGGAUAUCGUAUGAUAUCGGUAGGGGAGCAUUCAUGCGGCCUUGAAGAUAGAGGAUAACCUCUGUUGGAGCUUCAUGAAAAGCAAAUGUAGGUAUAAGUAACGAUAAAGAGUGUGAGAUGCACUCUCGCCGAAAGACUAAGGUUUCCAGGGCAACGUUAAUCGGCCCUGGGUCAGUCGGGACCUAAGGUUCAACCUAAUGGUGAUGCCGAUGGCAGAAACGGUUAAUAUUCCGUUACUAUCUUUGUUGGCGAUGUGGAGACGGAGGAGUGACACUUCCGCGAGCUGACGGAAUAGCUCGUUAAAGAUUGUAGGUAAUGAGGAUGGCAGGCAAAUCCACCAUCUGAGCUGAAAGUCGAUAGUAUACAGCGUCUUCGGACAAUGUAAUAGUGAAGGUAAUCCUACUCCCGAGAAAAUCCGCUAAGCUUAACAACAAAGAUACCCGUACCGUAAACGGACACACGUAGUCGGGUAGAAUAUACUAAGGCGCUUGGAAGAUUCAUGGUUAAGGAACUAGGCAAAUUGACCCCGUAACUUCGGAAUAAGGGGUCCUCACAGGAAUGUGAGGCGCAGAGAAUCGGCCCAGGCAACUGUUUAACAAAAACACAGGGCUGUGCAAAAUCGAAAGAUGCAGUAUACAGUCUGACACCUGCCCGGUGCUGGAAGGUUAAGAGGAGAGCUUAGACUCCGGUCGAAGGUUUGAAUUGAAGCCCCAGUAAACGGCGGCCGUAACUAUAACGGUCCUAAGGUAGCGAAAUUCCUUGUCGGGUAAGUUCCGACCNNNNNNNNNNNNNNNNNNNNNNNNNNNNNNNNNNNNNNNNNNNNNNNNCCUGCCCGGUGCUGGAAGGUUAAGAGGAGAGCUUAGACUCCGGUCGAAGGUUUGAAUUGAAGCCCCAGUAAACGGCGGCCGUAACUAUAACGGUCCUAAGGUAGCGAAAUUCCUUGUCGGGUAAGUUCCGACCUGCACGAAUGGUGUAAUGAUCUGGGCACUGUCUCAACCAUGAUUCCAGUGAAAUUGUAGUAUCGGUGAAGAUGCCGAUUACCCGCGAUGGGACGAAAAGACCCCGUGAACCUUUACUAUAGCUUAACGUUGUAAUUGGGCAGUCGAUGUGUAGGAUAGGUCGGAGGCUAUGAAGCAGGCACGCCAGUGUUUGUGGAGCCGCUGUUGAAAUACGACCCUUUGGCUGUCUGGUUCCUAACUCUCUUAUGAGAGGACCGCGUUUGGUGGGUAGUUUGACUGGGGUGGUCGCCUCCAAAAGCGUAACGGAGGCUUCUAAAGGUGCCCUCAGGCCGAUUGGUAACCGGCCGUAGAGUGUAAUGGCAAAAGGGCGCUUGACUGAGAGACCUACAAGUCGAUCAGGUGCGAAAGCAGAGCAUAGUGAUCCGGUGGUUCCGUAUGGAAGGGCCAUCGCUCAAAGGAUAAAAGGUACUCCGGGGAUAACAGGCUGAUCCCUCCCAAGAGCUCAUAUCGACGGAGUGGUUUGGCACCUCGAUGUCGGCUCGUCACAUCCUGGGGCUGGAGAAGGUCCCAAGGGUUGGGCUGUUCGCCCAUUAAAGUGGCACGCGAGCUGGGUUCAGAACGUCGUGAGACAGUUCGGUCUCUAUCUGUUGUGGGCGU